CCUAUACCUCCCAUGUGCUACCAUGCCUAACUGAUGUGGUCAGUCCCGGGGAUUGAACCCCGGGUUUCAUGCAAUGUUAGGCAGACACUCUACCUACUGAGCUACUUCCCUAGCCCAGACAGACUUCACUGGCAAAGAGCAAAAGAAACUGCUCUUUGAAAGGAUUCUGAAGGGGCUAGAGAGAGGGUUCAGUGGUUAAGAGUCCUUUGCUACUCUUGCAGAGGGCUGGAGUUCAGAUCCUAGGACCCAUGUCAGGUAGUUCAGGAUCUGAUAUCAUUAGAUGGCUUCCUAGGGCACACACAGACACACACAGACACACACAGAUACACACAGACACACACAGACACACACACAGACACACACAGAUACACACAGACACAGGAGAGGGAGAGAGAGAGAGAGAGAGAGAGAGAGAGAGAGAGAGAGAGAGAGGAGGGAAGAGAGAAGGGGAGGGGGAGGGAAGGGGGGAGGAAAGGAAGAGGGAGAGGGGGAAGGAGAAGGAGAGCAGGAGGAGAGGGGGAGAAGGGGAGGGGAGGGAGGGAGAGGGAGAGAGAGAUUUAAAAAAAUAAAAUAAAUCAUUUAAAAGAGAAUAGACCUAGCCCUUGAAGGCUGAGGCACGAAGUUCCAGGCCAGCCUGAGCUACAAAGUCAGACCUCGUCUCAAAAAACAAACCAAGCCACAUCAAGCAAAUAAAAAACCAAAAAACAACAAUAACAAAAAACUGGAGGGGAAAGAGCUGUGUCUGUCUGUCUGUCUGUGCCUUUAUUUCUCCAACUUCUGGGCAUAGGCAGCGGUGCUGAGGUUUCCAUGAUGGUAAAGAGAAGGCAAAUGUAAUUAGUGAUGCUUUGCUCUCUAGUGAGGUCCCUAACCCGGGGCUGACGGAUGUAGUGAUUGCACGCUGUUGGAGAUAGUUUAGGAGCCGCCUGCCAGGGAGCCAGCAGGCUUUCCUGCCAACUCUUAGAAUUGCACUGUUCCUUUUCCUUGGAGCUUGCUAAUUGACCUGUAUUUCUGACUGAAAAAAUUUCCCCAAGGAGGCAAAAUGAAAGUAGAUAAUGAGGAUCUCUCAUCUCACAGGGCAGCGCAGGAGCAGAGCUCAGAGCCCUGGAGACUGAUCAUUAUUUAAAUGCAAAAGCGUUUUUCCGGAAGGUUGCAGCCCGGGGGCAAGCGCGGGUUUCUGAUGGGAAUCUCAGGCCACUGCCUCCCUCCUGCGACCCUCCGUCCACCCAAGUUGCUUCAGCUGGCAUUUUUGGAAUUAGAAUUGUAAAGCUAAAGAAUGCUCUGGGAGAACCCGGCCGUUAUUCAUUUGCAUGCAGAUCUGUGCAUACUCAAGAAAGGGUCGCGUGUCUGUGGUGUGCAGAAAAACUUCAGCCUGAGUGAGGAGAGAGUCUUCUCCUAGACAUCUUCAGAUGAAGAUGUGGAACUCUCAGCUCCUCCUGCAUGCCAUGUCUGCCUGGAUGCUGCCCAUGCUUCCCACCUUGAUGAUAAUGGACUGAACCUCCGAACCUUCUGCAAGGCAUCUUCCAGCACGGUGAAAGAUUGCCAGUAUAAGGAUGAAGCUCCCGGGUCAGUGCCCACUUGGUUCUUCACGUUUUAUGACUCAAGCAUGUGGUACCUUCAGCCAAUAGAGUUUUACCUACAAGUUUUGGAGAGUUACUGCUGAACACAGACGCGAACUGCAUAUAAUAUUUGAGGAUCUGUGGAGAUCCCACUGGCCAACAGAAAGAUAUCUCAAAAAGAGAUAACCCGUUCCUAGUUUUGGAGUUUUUAUUUCCUGGUUAUUGUGAAUCAAACAGCAUUAAGCACACAUGAGAGAGUUUCUCUGUCGUAGGAUGUGGAGUCCAAGAACGAUGCAGUUGAGCCUUGUGGCAGAUCGAUUUCUAGUUCUUCAAGGAACCUCCACACUGAUGGCCACAGGGGCUACACUAGCUUGUGCUUGCAUCAGCGGUGAAUAAAUAUUCCCAUUUUCCCACAUCCACGCCAGCAUUUGUUUUAUGGCUACUACUUCUGACCCUGUGUGUGUGUGUGUGUGUGUGUGUGUGUGUGUGUGUGUGUGUGUGUGUGAAACUCAAAGUGGUUUUAAUUUCCAUUUCUCUGUUGACUAAGGAUAUUAGCAAUGUUUCUCUGCUACUUCCUACUUUAUCUUUUGAGAACUCUUUUUAUUUCCAUGGCCUAUUUUGUAACUGUUUAAUUCAUGUUUAGGAUUUUUUUUUAACUUUUAAAAUAUAUUUUAGAUACUAGCCCUCUGUCAUAUUUCCCCCCAUUCUGUAGGCUAUCUCUUCACCAGAAUGAGGUGUCCUUUUGCUCUUCAGAAGCAUUUUAGUAUCAUGUGGUCCUGUUUGUCAAUUGUUGGUCUUAAUGCCUGUGCUAUUGGGUUCAAUAUAUAAAUUCAAGUAUAUUCCCUACUUUCUCCUCUGUCAGAUUCAGGGUAUCAGCUCUUAUGUUGAGGUUCUUGACUCAUAACAAGCAAUGAAAUAGAAGCAGUAAUUAAAUAUUCCUAACUAAAAAAUAAAAAAUCCCAGGACUAGAUCAAUAUAGCACAGAGAUCUACCAGGCCUAAAAACCAACCAACCAACCAACCAACCAACCAACCAACCAACCAACCAAACCUUAGCAACUAAUACUCCUUAAAUAUGACUUAAAAUAGAAAAGGAAGGAAAUUUUCCAAACUAUUUUUAUGAAGUCAGAAUCCAGUAUUACUCUGAUAUAAAAGCCAGCCAAAGCUCCAACAAAUUUAUAAUCUAACCUCUCUAAUGAACAUAUAUGCCAAAAUUGUCAAUAAAAUACUUGCAAACCAAAUUUAAGAGUGUAUCAAAAAGAUUACCUACCAUGACCUAAAUCAGCUUCAUCCCAAAGUUGUAGCUCAACAUAAAUGUAAUCCACCAGAUAAAGAAACCACAUAGCCAUCUUGUUAGAUGCAGAAAAUAAGCCUUUUACGCAAUUCAAUAGCUAUCUAUCUCUUCACGACAAAAGUCUUGUGGAGGCUAGGGAUAUGGAGACAUCUCAGAAUAAUCAAGAUAAUUUACAAGAAUAAAUAUCCCUGCUAAGUCUAGAGAAACUAAAAGCAUUUCCGCUAAAAUUAGGAACAAGAUAAGGCUCCUUCUCUCCAUUUCUGUUCAGUAGAGUGCUUGAGAUCUUAGCUAGAGCAGAAAGACAGGUGAAAGAAAACAAGGGAUACAAAGAGGAAAGGAAAGAGUCAACGUAUCCUUAGUUGCAGAUUAGGUAUGAGUUUAAUAUAUAAAAAGAAAGUAUUCAAAAUGCUCAGGGAAAGUACUAUCUUAUCAUUUUGUCCUCUUUACCACCUGAUGUUAAUUGCUGUUAUCUAUACUCCCGCUGGACACAGUCAUAUACGAAUUAUGUUC